AAUGAAUGCGAUGCACCAGUGUCAAAUAAAACAUAAGCAAUAUGAUCACAGAUAGUGUACAUACCCUGUACGACGUCUGGGUCGGCGUCAGCAUCCUUCUGGCUGAGGUUGUAAACCCUGCCCUGAAAAGGAGGUACUCCUUGGUUCUGGUUCCUUGGGCACUCUGUGCUGGGCACUACCACAUAUGCGACAGGUGUUAUUGAGGCGGUAGCAUGAUCGGUCCCCCUGAUCCCUACCACAGUGCUGACCGAUCUUUCCACGUGCUGCCCCUGGAGCCUGAGGAGGGGCCUGAAUCACUGGUCUGGGCAUCUUAUUUGGUUGGACCGGCGCAGCAGGUGCUAGUCUGCGAGGUGGAGCUGAGGUUCGGUGACUCCCUGCUGGCUGAGGACGAGUGUUGAAGCUCCUCUCCACAAUCUGUGCCUUUGCUAGAGCGGCUGAAUAUGUCUUGAGCUCCAGUACCAAUAAGUGUUGCUUGAUUUCUGGGUGGAGGCCCCACUAGAAUCUCCUGGUCUUCUUGUCUUCAUCCAUCAAUGUCUCCGGGGAGUAUCGGCCAACCUCUAGGAACUUAAUAGCAUAUUCCGAUACCGUUAUGUUUCCCUGGACUAGCUGAACAAAUUCCAUCUCCUUCAGGUGUCGGAUGUGCUCAAGGAGAUACUCCGCAUGGAAGGCCGCUAAGAACUGCUCCCAAGUGGCUGGUGUAGGCAGGGUGGUCUACUUGAGCUCCCACCAACGACCUACUUCCCCUACCAGCAUGUAGGAAGCAAGGGUAGCUCUCUGCUCGGGAACCAUUCCCAAGGUCUUGAAAGCUCUCUCAGUCUCUGCCAACCAGUACUGGGCAUCUUCGAAAGAGGAUUCCCCUGCAAAAGUAGAAGGGUUCAGUCUCCUGUACCUCUCUAUGUAGCCUGGGUCGAUCAAGGAAGGAGCUGGGUCCUGUGGAAGAGGGACUGGGCCCGGCUGGGGAUAGACUGGGGGGCCCUGUGGUGGCACCUGCUGAUAUGGUGGGGGCACCAGAUUGUACUGUGGCGGUGCUGGGCAGUACGGUGGCUGGGGCACCGGUUCAUACUGCGGCGGUGGUACC
rnacentral:lncRNA from 1 species